rnacentral:lncRNA from 1 species
CUUCAACACAUGGAUUUGAGGGGGACAGAGUUCAGUCCAUAACAGGCUGGAAAUGCAAUCACAGGUAUCCUUAUAGGGUAGACACACAGAAGCAGAGACAGGGAGAAGAGGAGGAAAUAACGAGACCACAAAAGCAGAGAUAGAAGUGAUGCAGCCACAAACCAAGGAAUGCCUGGAGCCACCAGACAGGGAAAGACAAGGAGUGGACUCUCCCCUGGAGCUGUGGGAAGGAGGGAGGCCCUGCAGAUACCUUGUUUUGACUUCUGGCUUCCAGAACUGUGAGAGAAUAACUUUUUGUUGUUUUCAGCCCCCCAGUUUGUGCUAACUUGUUACAAAAGCCACAGGAAACUGAUAUGCUUCCAUAACCUCACAGAUAAGUCACUUUUCUAGACUGCAAGUUCAAGAGGGCAGAGACUUGGCCCGUGUUGUCCACCACCGCUUCCCCGGGGCCUGGUCUGGAGCAGGUACUCAAUAAAUAUAUCUGAGAUGGAUGAACACAGUCAGAACUAAACCUUAUGAUGCAACUGCUUUCUGGAAGAUGCAACUGUUUGCAAGAUGAUUCUGCAGUUGACACAGCACCAAAGAAUAUUGUUGACAUGAACAAGCAGGGCUAAGAUCAGCGCAGAUGAAGUUCCCUUCCUAGUGGCCCUGCUCCCAACAGUCUAUCUGUGCCUCCACCGUGGCACCUACGACUUUGAACACCGUUCUGCAGCUAUGGACAUACAAGGUAACCUCCCCUACCAGAGCAACCCUCCUUGAGGUCCACCAUGUUCAGUCUCACCACCUGCUGCCCCCCAACACACACACACACACAACUCCUAGGCCAAAACCUUAAACACAGCAAUCAUUCGGCAAAUCUACGAGGAGGGAUAAUUUAUGAACAUUUUCCACUGAGCUUGGUUCAGUGUGAUCACAAAGAUCGGCCAGUCCAUGCUUGUUGACUGGCUCAUUGCCACAUGUCUACAUGCCAGAUAGCACCCUGAAUUGCACCCAGGAGAAUGCUACAGAUGUGUGCUCCACCUGAGUGCAUGGGCAUGUGCCGCACAAGCACCUCUCCAGGGAGUCAUGGUAGAAGGUCCUCACGGUCCACAGUUGCGCCUUUGAGGAAGAGGAGGUGGAGUGAGGCGGUACCCCUUUGGCUUGUGGAAGGCUGUGUACCUGAUGGUAAAGCACUGGCUUUAGAGUCAGAUGGUACUUCUCUGAUCACCCACCAUUUCUUUUCCUUUUUUAAACCGUGAUAAAAUAGACAUAACAUAAAAUUUACCGUCUUAACCAUUUUUAGGUGUACAGUUCAG